AAUGAACGCUGGCGGCGUGCUUAACACAUGCAAGUCGUGCGCGAAGGUGGCUUCGGCCACCGGAGAGCGGCGAACGGGUGAGUAACACGUGGGUAAUCUGCCUGGGAGCGGGGGAUAACCUGGGGAAACUCGGGCUAAUACCGCAUACGUCGAUGGGGCUUACGCCCUGUCAAGAAAGCUGGCCUCUACUUGUAAGCUAGCGCUCCCAGAGGAGCCCGCGGCUGAUUAGCUAGUUGGUGAGGUAAUGGCUCACCAAGGCGACGAUCAGUAGCCGGCCUGAGAGGGUGAUCGGCCACACUGGGACUGAGACACGGCCCAGACUCCUACGGGAGGCAGCAGUGGGGAAUAUUGGACAAUGGGCGCAAGCCUGAUCCAGCAACGCCGCGUGGAGGACGAAGGUCUUCGGAUCGUAAAACUCCUGUCAGGUGGGACGAAGGGGCUUCGGCAAAUAGUCGAAGUCUUUGACGGUACC
rnacentral:rRNA from 1 species